CCCUGGAUAGCUCAGUUGGUAGAGCUUCAGACUUUUAAUUUGAAAAUUCAGGGUUCAAGUUCCUGUUCAGGUG